GUCACAGAGACCCGGAGGAAGAAGGAGGCCUCCACAGUGUGUACAAAUGAUGGCACUCACCCACAACCUUACCCAGUCCCUUGCUUCUUGAAGCUUAUGUAGCCCUGGAGGGAAAGAAAGCGUUGGACCCUGGCUGGCUAUUAUAAAGAUGUUACAAGCUAAUGCUGAGGCACAACAACAACAUAAAAAAGAAGGGGGAGAGAAGUAUUGCAUAAAAAGAGAUGAAGAAAUCCAGGUGGCGUAUGUUCAACCCGGUGAAUUUCUUAAUUCAGUCCAACUCAGUGCAGAUGACGUUAAUUCUCAAAGAUACUAUCCUCCUUUGUAAGGGUGAUUCAUGCCCCUGUGUAUGAGAAUGGGAUGCCACAUGAAAGUAGAACAAAGAAGAAAAUCGGAACUCAUGUUUUAUCUGAAGUCAUUCCAGAGUCCUGUGUACAUAAUGCUGCCAUUCUACUAGAACCAAAUGGGUCUUUUCACUUGAUAGUUUAAUGUAAUCAUGCUAUUACAGUUCUUUUGUAAGCAUCACUCGCGAUUUUACCUGUGGGAGUUUUUUGUUGUUGUUUUGUUGUUUGACUGAUGUCAGUUUCCCACAUUCUUCUACACAGAAACAUUUGCAAUAUUUCAGGAUGCUCUUACCUGCCACACUAAAUCUUUUACUCUUGACCCCCCUCAUGCGGCUAUACACCAUGAAGACAUUCACAUCCCAGACACAUGUGGCCACCAAUUUGCUAUAACAAGUCACCCAACCUUUUUGCUCAUUUAUUAUUUGUCUAUAGUAUCACAUAGUUUCUAAUUCUCAAGAGUGACUUCCAUGGAAACAAACACCAGAGGAUUUAAGUUUGUGUUUGUGGCCCUGGAUCAGAACAUGCUCUUUGGGACACAGACUGAGAAAUUCUCUCUGGUGAAUUUCAGUGAAAAGGGAACCCUAAGCCCAGAUCUACAGGAAGGCUAAGGGUCCCUGGGGCAAGAAAUAGACAUUAUCUGCUAUAUAUAGUUGCAUUAUCUGCUGUAGGAGGUGUGACCAUUGCUGUUCCUGCAUCCCAGAAGCACCUACAUGGAAGUAAAGUUCCUAGAGAAAGCACUGGAGAGAAAGAAGUAUCCAGUUGUCUGCCGAGGUGACAGGAUGAUGACAUGAUAGGACAGGUGAUUGAGAAGAUUCCAG
rnacentral:lncRNA from 1 species